AGUAGCUUGCUACUUGACCUAGCGGCGGACGGGUGAGUAAUGCUUAGGAAUCUGCCUAUUAGUGGGGGACAACAUCUCGAAAGGGAUGCUAAUACCGCAUACGUCCUACGGGAGAAAGCAGGGGACCUUCGGGCCUUGCGCUAAUAGAUGAGCCUAAGUCGGAUUAGCUAGUUGGUGGGGUAAAGGCCUACCAAGGCGACGAUCUGUAGCGGGUCUGAGAGGAUGAUCCGCCACACUGGGACUGAGACACGGCCCAGACUCCUACGGGAGGCAGCAGUGGGGAAUAUUGGACAAUGGGGGGAACCCUGAUCCAGCCAUGCCGCGUGUGUGAAGAAGGCCUUUUGGUUGUAAAGCACUUUAAGCGAGGAGGAGGCUACCGAGAUUAAUACUCUUGGAUAGUGGACGUUACUCGCAGAAUAAGCACCGGCUAACUCUGUGCCAGCAGCCGCGGUAAUACAGAGGGUGCAAGCGUUAAUCGGAUUUACUGGGCGUAAAGCGCGCGUAGGUG
rnacentral:rRNA from 1 species